AUACGGAGGAUGCAAGCGUUACUCGGAAUCACUGGGCGUAAAGGAUGCGUAGGCGGAUAAUCAAGUCAAAAGUGAAAUCCCACGGCUUAACCGUGGAACUGCUUUCGAAACUGGUUAUCUAGAAUAUGGAAGAGGCAGAUGGAAUUAGUGGUGUAGGGGUAAAAUCCGUAGAGAUCACUAGGAAUACCGAUUGCGAAGGCGAUCUGCUGGGACAUUAUUGACGCUGAGGCAUGAAAGCGUGGGGAGCAAACAGGAUUAGAAACCCUAGUAGUCC
rnacentral:rRNA from 1 species